rnacentral:rRNA from 1 species
CCUACGGGUGGCAGCAGUGAGGAAUAUUGGUCAAUGGUCGGGAGACUGAACCAGCCAAGCCGCGUGAGGGAGGAAGGUACAGAGUAUCGUAAACCUCUUUUGUCAGGUAACAAAGGCGGGGACGUGUCCCCGGAUGAGUGUACCUGAAGAAAAAGCAUCGGCUAACUCCGUGCCAGCAGCCGCGGUAAUACGGAGGAUGCGAGCGUUAUCCGGAUUUAUUGGGUUUAAAGGGUGCGCAGGCGGUCUGUUAACUCAGCGGUAAAAGCCCGGGGCUCAACCCCGGCCCGCCGUUGAAACUGGCAGUCUCGAGUUGGAGAGAAGUAUGCGGAAUGCGCGGUGUAGCGGUGAAAUGCAUAGAGAUCGCGAAGAACUCCGAUUGCGAAGGCAGCAUGCCGGCUCCACACUGACGCUGAGGCACGAAAGCGUGGGUAUCGAACAGGAUUAGAUACCCCAGUAGUC